rnacentral:rRNA from 1 species
CAGCAGCCGCGGUAAUACGAAGGGGGCUAGCGUUGUUCGGAAUUACUGGGCGUAAAGCACACGUAGGCGGAUAUUUAAGUCAGGGGUGAAAUCCCGCAGCUCAACUGCGGAACUGCCUUUGAUACUGGGUAUCUUGAGUAUGGAAGAGGUUAGUGGAAUUGCGAGUGUAGAGGUGAAAUUCGUAGAUAUUCGCAGGAACACCAGUGGCGAAGGCGGCUAACUGGUCCAUAACUGACGCUGAGGUGCGAAAGCGUGGGGAGCAAACAGGAUUAGAUACCCGUGUAGUCCCUGUCUCUUAUAC